CUGUGGAAUGAUCUCCCUGCAUCAAUAAAACAGUCAGAUUCAGUAGAGACUUUCAAGUCCAGACUUAUGACGCACUUAUUUUCACUUCCAUAUGGCUAGCAUACUGGCAUAGUAUGUUACUAUGCUUCGUACCCUUUUAAAUGAAUUUUAUUAGUCAACAAAGUGGGUCGCAGCCUCAACUUUAUCUAAAGUCUGGGUCUUCUAGUGAAGCUUAGGUCUAGUGGCCGGCGAUCACAUUAGCAUUUCUUCUAUGUACAGGAUGUUGUAUUUG